rnacentral:rRNA from 1 species
UACGUAGGGGGCAAGCGUUGUCCGGAUUCAUUGGGCGUAAAGAGCGUGUAGGCGGCCAGGUAGGUCGGUUGUGAAAACUGGAGGCUCAACCUUCAGAGGUCGAUCGAAACCAUCUGGCUAGAGUCCGGGAGAGGAGAGUGGAAUUCCUGGUGUAGCGGUGAAAUGCGCAGAUAUCAGGAGGAACACCGAUUGCGAAGGCAGCUCGCUGGGACGUCACUGACGCUGAGACGCGAAAGCGUGGGGAGCAAACAGG